rnacentral:rRNA from 1 species
CCGUUACGGCAGCUACCAUGCAGUCGACGGGGCUUGUAGUACCCACGGUGGAUCCGUGGCCAUUUUGUAUUGUGGUCAUGGGUUUAGCGUGGGUACUGCAAGCUUAGUGGCGCACGGGUGAGUAACACGUAGGAAAUCUGCCCAUGAGUGGGGGACAACAUCGGGAAACCGGUGCUAAUACCGCAUAAGACCACGAGUUGAAAUACUAGUGGUAAAAGGAGCAAUUCGCUUAUGGAUGAGCCUGCGGCCUAUCAGGUAGUUGGCGGGGUAAUAGCCCACCAAGCCGAAGACGGGUAGCCGGUCUGAGAGGAUGAACGGCCACACUGGAACUGAGACACGGUCCAGACUCCUACGGGAGGCAGCAGUGGGGAAUUUUGCGCAAUGGGGGAAACCCUGACGCAGCGACGCCGCGUGAAGGAUGAAGGCCUUCGGGUUGUAAACUUCUUUUAUAGGGGAAGAUAGUGACGGUACCCUAGGAAUAAGCCACGGCUAACUCUGUGCCAGCAGCCGCGGUAAGACAGAGGUGGCAAGCGUUGUUCGGAAUUACUGGGCUUAAAGGGCGCGUAGGCGGUAGUGCAAGUCUGGUGUGGAAUCCCACGGCUUAACCGUGGAACUGCAUUGGAAACUGCAUCACUUGAGUCAGCAAGGGGAGGGCGGAAUUCCUGGUGUAGCAGUGAAAUGCGUAGAUAUCAGGAGGAAGGCCGGUGGCGAAGGCGGCCCUCUGGUGCUUGACUGACGCUGAGGCGCGAAAGCGUGGGGAGCAAACAGGAUUAGAUACCCUGGUAGUCCACGCCCUAAACGGUGAGUAUUAUGUGUUGGGCUCGCGAGAGUUCAGUGCCGUAGGGAAACCAUUAAAUACUCCGCCUGGGGAGUACGGCCGCAAGGUUAAAACUCAAAGGAAUUGACGG